GACAGAAGCCGGGAUAGCUNC
rnacentral:tRNA from 1 species